CUGAAGCUGGGCUGUACUGAGCAGAGCCUCGGGAUGGGGAAGCAGCGCCUGCAGUGGCUGCUGACCUCCAGGUAACCCGCCGUGUGCCCGAUGCUGGGAACCUCCCCUGAGCGCUCUCGGUUCAGGCUUUCUGCACCUGGCUUCUCCACCCCAGUUUCAGUUGUGAGCUGGUCACCUGGCCCCAAGACAGCCCAGGCACCCCGGCCCACUGUCCACCCCGGGUUUCUGCCCACACCGAUGGCUCCUGCGUCACCAUGGCCAGGUAGGGGCACUUCCUCCACUCAGCCCUGGGUCACGUGACAAUUCCCUGUUCUCACUGUCCCCGUGACCCCCUCAGGGUCAGUGCUCCCACAGCCCUGCUGCCCAGCAUUUCUGAUCCCUCUGUUGAGGAUGGGGGCCCCUGGAUCCUGGAGCUCCCAGCACCCAAUCCCAGCCAAG
rnacentral:lncRNA from 1 species